rnacentral:snRNA from 1 species
AUAUCUCUAUGAGAUCAAGUGUAGUAUCCGUUUUUGGAAGUUUAAUAUCUGAUAUAUCAUUUAUCAGAAGACAAUACACUAAGUACACUUUUGCUGCUGGAAUCUGGAAUAGGCGUUUGCUAGGUCCCCUCCACGAGCUGACCAGGUACUAUAGUACCUACAGCAAAAGCACCGCUUGC